rnacentral:rRNA from 1 species
GGAAUAUUGGACAAUGGGGGAAACCCUGAUCCAGCCAUGCCGCGUGUGUGAAGAAGGCCUUCGGGUUGUAAAGCACUUUCAGCAGGGAAGAAAAGCCUGGGGCGAAUAUCACCGGGUCUGGACGGUACCUGCAUAAGAAGCACCGGCUCACUCCGCGCCAGCAGCCGCGGUAAUACGGAGGGGUCACGCGUUAAUCGGAAUUACUGGGCGUAAAGCGCGCGUAGGUGGUUUGGUAAGUCGGGUGUGAAAGCCCCGGGCUCAACCUGGGAACUGCAUUCGAUACUGCCUUACUAGAGUGUGGUAGAGGGAAGUGGAAUUCCGCAUGUAGCGGUGAAAUGCGUAGAGAUGCGGAGGAACACCAAUGGCGAAGGCAACUUCCUGGACCAACACUGACACUGAGGUGCGAAAGCGUGGGUAGCA